UACAGAGGUCUCGAGCGUUGUUCGGAUUCAUUGGGCGUAAAGGGUGCGUAGGUGGUCGUGUAAGUCGGAUGUGAAAUCCCGGGGCUCAACCCCGGAACUGCAUUCGAUACUGCGCGGCUUGAGUACUGGAGAGGAGAUCGGAAUUUACGGUGUAGCAGUGAAAUGCGUAGAUAUCGUAAGGAAGACCAGUGGCGAAGGCGGAUCUCUGGACAGUUACUGACACUGAGGCACGAAGCCAGGGGAGCGAAACGGG
rnacentral:rRNA from 1 species